rnacentral:rRNA from 1 species
GACGAACGCUGGCGGCGUGCUUAACACAUGCAAGUCGAACGGAAAGGCCCUGCUUUUGUGGGGUGCUCGAGUGGCGAACGGGUGAGUAACACGUGAGUAACCUGCCCUUGACUUUGGGAUAACUUCAGGAAACUGGGGCUAAUACCGGAUAGGAGCUCCUGCUGCAUGGUGGGGGUUGGAAAGUUUCGGCGGUUGGGGAUGGACUCGCGGCUUAUCAGCUUGUUGGUGGGGUAGUGGCUUACCAAGGCUUUGACGGGUAGCCGGCCUGAGAGGGUGACCGGCCACAUUGGGACUGAGAUACGGCCAAGACUGCAACGGGAGGCAGCAGUGGGGAAUAGUGCACGAUGGGCGGAAGCCUGAUGCAGCAACGCCGCGUGCGGGAUGACGGCCUUCGGGUUGUAAACCGCUUUCGCCUGUGACGAAGCGUGAGUGACGGUAAUGGGUAAAGAAGCACCGGCUAACUACGUG